CCCCCACGUGCGCACAGCCAUGGCGGCCCCCGUGCGGGCCGGGAGCGCGGCCCCGGUGCCCGCCAAAGCCCGAGCCCGGUAUGUGGCCCAGCAGAUCCCCGAGGAGAUCCUGGGCAACGCGGAGCUGCGGGAGGCGGCUCUGGCCCUGCCCCCCAACUACAACUUCGAGAUCCCCAAGACCGUGUGGCGCAUCCGGCAGGCUGGUGCCAGGAAGGUGGCCCUGCAGAUGCCAGAAGGGCUCCUCAUGUUCGCCUGCACCAUCGCUGACAUCAUUGAGCGGUUCACGGAUGCAGAGGCAGUGGUGAUGGGAGAUGUGACCUACGGCGCCUGCUGCGUGGAUGACUACACGGCCCGGGCCCUGGGCGCUGAUUUCCUGGUGCACUAUGGACACAGCUGCCUCAUUCCCAUCGACUCCACCCAGGGGCUGAAGAUGCUCUAUGUGUUUGUGGACAUAAAGAUCGAUGCAUCCCAUUUCCUUGAGACCAUUCGCUUCAACUUUGCAGCAGGCACCUCCCUGGCCCUGGUCAGCACCAUCCAGUUUGUCUCCACGUUGCAGGCAGUGUCACAGGAGCUGCGUUCCCAGUACAAGGUGUGUGUGCCCCAGUGUAAGCCACUGUCCCCAGGAGAGAUCCUGGGCUGCACGUCACCCCGGCUCGCUCAGGACACGGAUGCCAUUGUGUAUUUGGGCGACGGGCGCUUCCACCUGGAGUCCAUCAUGAUCGCCAACCCAGGGAUACCUGCAUACAGGUACGAUCCCUACAGCAAAGUGUUCUCGCAGGAGCACUACAGCCACGAGCGCAUGCACCGCGCCCGGCAGGACGCCAUCCUCACUGCCAGCUCUGCCCGCUGCUGGGGGCUCAUCCUGGGCACGCUGGGACGUCAGGGCUCCCCCAGCAUCCUGCAGGUACCAGCCCCACUGCCCAAUGUCCCCACCAGGCACCAGGAGCUGCUGUUGGGUGUGGGGAAGGGCUGGACCAUCGCUGCCAGGGUGGAUGUGGCACCGCAGGCAACCCAUCCGUGGCCACUGGCCCCGGCCUGCAUGGGCAAUUAGCAGCAGAUGAGGGAGGCUGGACAAGGGCUCAUUAAACCCAUUCCUGGGGAGAGCUGGCCAGUCUUGGAGAACCCCCCCUCGCCCAGACAGCUCGGCAAUUAAUUGGCUGGGUUUGUUUUAAUUGGAUGAACUUCCGAUCAGGUUCAGCCUCCCUGCUCAGCUGCCGGGCUGGCGCUUUCUGCACCCGGCUGGGAGAGGGGAGCAGGACAGCAGAGUUCUGCCCUCUGAGCAUGGUGGCCCUGCUCACACCCAGAAAUGCUGGGGUGCCACAGGUGAGAUUUGAGGCAGGGCAGCAAGGUCCCAGCUGCUCUUGCACUGCAGGCAUGGCCAGGGCUGGCUGGGCAGGGGGUGAUUAGUGCCACCUCGGGAGGACAAGGACAUCUCUGGCCCCUCUCCUCCUCCUCCUGCAAGCCCUGGCUGCAGCCAGCCCGUGACAGGCGGGUGUCCCAGGGCAGGCAGCCGCUAACGAGAACAGAUUGUUGUCAUUGAGCAGUAAUUACUUCAUUAGGCUGAGGCACGUGCUGGGGAGAGCUGGGCACAAGCCGGAGCCAUGGCCGCAGUCUGGCCUGUGACUGCCAAAGGGACACGUGGGGCAGAGCUGGGACCCACAGAGGCACCUGGAGUCACGUCUCCGUGCCUUGGGCCGGCCCUAUGUGAGGGUGCUGCUGUCUGAGAUCUUCCCCAGCAAGUUAAAGCUCUUCCCAGAGGUGGAUGUGUGGGUGCAGGUAGCCUGUCCCCGGCUCUCCAU